CAGCUGCUGAGUCUGCCAGCAGAGGGGGCUGAAGGGCUGGAGUGCUCAGCAGCAGAGUGGGGGCAGCAGCACCAAACUGCAGAGCCCAGAGUGACCACCAGGAGGCAGCAGUUCAGCCACGCCACCACAGCAGGUGCAGCUGUCCGUCAUGAAGACUGAACCCUCAGCCAUGGCCUUCAUCUCUGUACUCACCUGGACUCUUCUAGUUUGCCUCCAAGAAUGCAGAGGGCAGUUCACUGUGACUCAAACUCCUGCUACAUCAGCUGUUGGUCCAGGAGGGUCAGUCACUCUGAACUGCAAAGCCAGCAGUGGAAUUGGACACCGUUUUAAGGCAUGGUAUUCCAACUGUCUGUCCUGGUACCUGCAGAAGCCUGGAGAAGCUCCUAAACUCCUGAUUCACAGUAUUAGCACCCGUUACACAGGCACUGCAAACAGAUUCAGUGGAGGUGGAUCAAACUAUGGCUCUGACUUCACUCUGACCAUCAGUGGAGUCCAGGCUGAGGAUGCUGGACAUUACUACUGCAUGGGGGUGAUGUACAGUGGAACUACGCCAGUGUUCACACAGUGUUAGAGAGCCGUACAAAAACCUCCUCCAUCCAGCAGGCUACACAUGACUGCACACACACACGACUGCUGUUUCAUAUGACACACACACACACA